AUUUUAUUGUUAAGAGUAAUGAAUUAUUGAGGUUUCUGAACAUAGAUCCACCUGAUAUUGACAGUGACAGAUUUGUUUUUUUUUUUUAAUCUACCAUUAGCUUAGCAUUGUAGCUGGUUGGCUGAGUUGAAUUUUAAACAAUAGAUUUACUACUUAAAUAAGUAGUAGAUGGUUUGUGAGUAGUAAUUACAUGUUUAAUAUAAACCGCACACUAAUAAUCAUAUGUAUGUUAUUAAUUUCUGUUAGUUACUAAUUAAAUGUAAACUAGAACACGCAGAAUAGCAAUAUCUAAACGCAUUUUACAAUUCAACUGUCAAAAAAGUAAACGUAAACCAGAUCCAACAUUUCUUUAAAGGUAUUUUUUAAUAGAUUUAAUGGAAAAGUUUUCAAAAGUAGAGAAAAUCGGCGAAGGAACAUAUGGAGUUGUAUAUAAAGCAAAAGACCGCGAAACUGGAAAUGAAAUCGCUUUAAAGAAAAUCAAACUAGAAAAUGAACCCGAGGGUGUGCCCUCCACAGCCUUGCGCGAGAUCUCAGUGCUGCGAACACUGCGGCAUGAAGGCGUGGUCCGGCUGCUGGACGUACUACUGGCUGACCGGAAGCUUUUCCUUGUGUUUGAGUACAUGCACAUGGACCUCAAGCGGCUCAUGGACCUCACGAGGGGCCCGCUGCGUCCAGAGCUCGUCAAGAGCUACGUGCGCCAACUAGCCGCAGGCCUCGCUUACUGCCACUCCGCGCGCGUCCUUCACCGAGACCUUAAACCACAAAACCUUCUCGUGGACACUGCGGGACGCAUCAAGCUCGCGGAUUUCGGCCUCGCGCGCGCGUUUGCUCUUCCUGUCCGAGCCUAUACACACGAGGUGGUGACGCUAUGGUAUCGGGCGCCCGAGAUCCUGCUGGGCGCCAAAUUCUACUCUACCGCCGUCGAUGUGUGGAGUCUCGGCUGCAUUUACGCUGAAAUGAUGAGUGGGCGCACGCUCUUCCCCGGCGACAGCGAGAUCGACCAGCUGUUCCGCGUGUUCCGCGCGCUCGGCACUCCGGGCGGAGCCCUGUGGGCGCGGGCGCGGCGCCUGCCCGACUACCGCGCCGCCUUCCCGCGCUGGCCGCCGCGCCAGCCCCGCGAGCUGCUGCCGCAGGCCGCGCAGCUGGUGCCGCACGCUGCCGACCUGCUGGACGCGCUGCUGAGGUACUGUCCCCCUCCCCCUGCCCGACUACCGCGCCGCCUUCCCGCGCUGGCCGCCGCGCCAGCCCCGCGAGCUGCUGCCGCAGGCCGCGCAGCUGGUGCCGCACGCUGCCGACCUGCUGGACGCGCUGCUGAGGUACUGUCCCCCUCCCCCUGCCCGACUACCGCGCCGCCUUCCCGCGCUGGCCGCCGCGCCAGCCCCGCGAGCUGCUGCCGCAGGCCGCGCAGCUGGUGCCGCACGCUGCCGACCUGCUGGACGCGCUGCUGAGGUACUGUCCCCCUCCCCCUGCCCGACUACCGCGCCGCCUUCCCGCGCUGGCCGCCGCGCCAGCCCCGCGAGCUGCUGCCGCAGGCCGCGCAGCUGGUGCCGCACGCUGCCGACCUGCUGGACGCGCUGCUGAGGUACUGUCCCCCUCCCCCUGCCCGACUACCGCGCCGCCUUCCCGCGCUGGCCGCCGCGCCAGCCCCGCGAGCUGCUGCCGCAGGCCGCGCAGCUGGUGCCGCACGCUGCCGACCUGCUGGACGCGCUGCUGAGGUACUGUCCCCCUCCCCCUGCCCGACUACCGCGCCGCCUUCCCGCGCUGGCCGCCGCGCCAGCCCCGCGAGCUGCUGCCGCAGGCCGCGCAGCUGGUGCCGCACGCUGCCGACCUGCUGGACGCGCUGCUGAGGUACUGUCCCCCUCCCCCUGCCCGACUACCGCGCCGCCUUCCCGCGCUGGCCGCCGCGCCAGCCCCGCGAGCUGCUGCCGCAGGCCGCGCAGCUGGUGCCGCACGCUGCCGACCUGCUGGACGCGCUGCUGAGGUACUGUCCCCCUCCCCCUGCCCGACUACCGCGCCGCCUUCCCGCGCUGGCCGCCGCGCCAGCCCCGCGAGCUGCUGCCGCAGGCCGCGCAGCUGGUGCCGCACGCUGCCGACCUGCUGGACGCGCUGCUGAGGUACUGUCCCCCUCCCCCUGCCCGACUACCGCGCCGCCUUCCCGCGCUGGCCGCCGCGCCAGCCCCGCGAGCUGCUGCCGCAGGCCGCGCAGCUGGUGCCGCACGCUGCCGACCUGCUGGACGCGCUGCUGAGGUACUGUCCCCCUCCCCCUGCCCGACUACCGCGCCGCCUUCCCGCGCUGGCCGCCGCGCCAGCCCCGCGAGCUGCUGCCGCAGGCCGCGCAGCUGGUGCCGCACGCUGCCGACCUGCUGGACGCGCUGCUGAGGUACUGUCCCCCUCCCCCUGCCCGACUACCGCGCCGCCUUCCCGCGCUGGCCGCCGCGCCAGCCCCGCGAGCUGCUGCCGCAGGCCGCGCAGCUGGUGCCGCACGCUGCCGACCUGCUGGACGCGCUGCUGAGGUACUGUCCCCCUCCCCCUGCCCGACUACCGCGCCGCCUUCCCGCGCUGGCCGCCGCGCCAGCCCCGCGAGCUGCUGCCGCAGGCCGCGCAGCUGGUGCCGCACGCUGCCGACCUGCUGGACGCGCUGCUGAGGUACUGUCCCCCUCCCCCUGCCCGACUACCGCGCCGCCUUCCCGCGCUGGCCGCCGCGCCAGCCCCGCGAGCUGCUGCCGCAGGCCGCGCAGCUGGUGCCGCACGCUGCCGACCUGCUGGACGCGCUGCUGAGGUACUGUCCCCCUCCCCCUGCCCGACUACCGCGCCGCCUUCCCGCGCUGGCCGCCGCGCCAGCCCCGCGAGCUGCUGCCGCAGGCCGCGCAGCUGGUGCCGCACGCUGCCGACCUGCUGGACGCGCUGCUGAGGUACUGUCCCCCUCCCCCUGCCCGACUACCGCGCCGCCUUCCCGCGCUGGCCGCCGCGCCAGCCCCGCGAGCUGCUGCCGCAGGCCGCGCAGCUGGUGCCGCACGCUGCCGACCUGCUGGACGCGCUGCUGAGGUACGAGCCCGCGGAGCGCCUGUCCGCGCGAGCAGCCCUGCAGCACCCGUUCCUGCAGGACGCGCGCCUCACGCCGCCCGAGCUGCCGCCGGCCGCCUGCCCGGCGCGCCCCGCCGCCGACCUGCACCUGUGACCCUCGUCGCCCAGACCGCUCCACACCCACAUGCGUCAGGGACGUCCGCUCCGCUCGACCUUUUGAUACGGAAUGAAAUUGUAGAGCACUCACGAUGCGAAUAGUGACGAAAGACCCGCAUGAUUGUUAAACGAUGCCGAUAGAACUAUUUUUAUAAAUUGUUUUAACCUGCAGUUGGCUGCUAAACCAUAUUUUUAUAUCCCAGGUACGAGAUAGAUUACGUAGUAAUUUGGCCAAUCGAACUGUCAUGUUAGUAUCUAGAAUAUAAAAACAAAAAUCUGUUAUGUUUGGACCGCUAUUACUGUUAAAAAAUUACUUAUGAACUUCUGGAAGUGCUACAAUGUAUGGGUCCAUUUUUGACCACCAAUUUUGCAAUUUAGAUUCAGGAUGAUCUCGCUGUUGAACUGUCCAGUAUCGGCGACGACGCAAAUUUGACUGAUAACGUAUUAUAAUAGCGACUAAUAUAAAUAUAAUAUUAAGAGAAAUGGAAAAGAACCUGUCAUAAGUAUAUCACUAUAAAUAGCGGCGCAGUCGCCGCGACAGGCUCUGUUAUCCCCUCACAUGUAAUGUUAUUUGUAAGCGAUUUAAAUAAAAUUAUUGAAAUCUUAUAUUAAA